rnacentral:rRNA from 1 species
GUGGGGAAUAUUCCGCAAUGGACGAAAGUCUGACGGAGCAACGCCGCGUGAGUGAUGAAGGUUUUCGGACUGUAAAGCUCUGUUGUUUAGGACGAAAGUGCCUGUUGCAAACAGUUACAGGUAUUGACGGUACCAAACGAGGAAGCCACGGCUAACUACGUGCCAGCAGCCGCGGUAAUACGUAGGUGGCAAGCGUUGUCCGGAAUUAUUGGGCGUAAAGAGCAUGUAGGCGGGAAUCUAAGUCUGUUGUGAAAAUGCGGGGCUCAACCCCGUAUUGCGAUGGAAACUGGGUUUCUUGAGUGCAGGAGAGGAAAGGGGAAUUCCCAGUGUAGCGGUGAAAUGCGUAGAUAUUGGGAGGAACACCAGUGGCGAAGGCGCCUUUCUGGACUGUGUCUGACGCUGAGAUGCGAAAGCCAGGGUAGCGAACGGGAUUAGAAACCCUGGUAGUCC